rnacentral:rRNA from 1 species
UGGGGAAUUUUGCGCAAUGGGCUAACGCCUGACGCAGCAACGCCGCGUGGAGGAUGAAGGUCCUUGGAUUGUAAACUCCUGUCAGCGGGGAAAAAGCGACCCGGCCUAAUACGCCGGGGAGUUGAUUGUACCCGCAGAGGAAGCCCCGGCUAACUCUGUGCCAGCAGCCGCGGUAAUACAGAGGGGGCAAGCGUUAUUCGGAAUUAUUGGGCGUAAAGGGCGCGUAGGCGGCCUUUCAAGUGACGGGUGAAAUCCCUCGGCUUAACCGAGGAACUGCCUGUCAGACUGGAAGGCUUGAGACCGGGAGAGGUGAGUGGAAUUCCCAGUGUAGCGGUGAAAUGCGUAGAUAUUGGGAGGAACACCAGUGGCGAAGGCGGCUCACUGGACCGGUACUGACGCUGAGGCGCGAAAGCGUGGGGAGCAAACAGG